rnacentral:rRNA from 1 species
AUUGAACGCUGGCGGCAGGCCUAACACAUGCAAGUCGAGCGGAUGAAGGGAGCUUGCUCCUGGAUUCAGCGGCGGACGGGUGAGUAAUGCCUAGGAAUCUGCCUGGUAGUGGGGGAUAACGUCCGGAAACGGGCGCUAAUACCGCAUACGUCCUGAGGGAGAAAGUGGGGGAUCUUCGGACCUCACGCUAUCAGAUGAGCCUAGGUCGGAUUAGCUAGUUGGUGGGGUAAAGGCCUACCAAGGCGACGAUCCGUAACUGGUCUGAGAGGAUGAUCAGUCACUCUGGAACUGAGACACGGUCCAGACUCCUACGGGAGGCAGCAGUGGGGAAAAUUGGACAAUGGGCGAAAGCCUGAUCCAGCCAUGCCGCGUGUGUGAAGAAGGUCUUCGGAUUGUAAAGCACUUUAAGUUGGGAGGAAGGGCAGUAAGUUAAUACCUUGCUGUUUUGACGUUACCAACAGAAUAAGCACCGGCUAACUUCGUG